AUGGUCCUGGGGCUUUUACCAAACCCUUUAGCAGAGAGGCCAUGUUACAAGAGACAGGGUGUGAAGGAGGAGCCAGUAAAGGAGGAGCCAGUGGACGUGAAGCCAGAACCAUUCCAUACGCCUUCCACUGAGGUCAUCCAUCAGCAAGUGACGCGGGGAGGAGAGAGGCGGCUCCUCAGGAGUGCUGGCCAUGUGCCGGACGAUCCAUGUGAAGGCUGGAGCCAGAGCCCGCAGAAUCCCUCGCAAAAUGAACUCGCCAUCAGCGAGCUGGGAGGGCAGCAGGAGCCCCUGGGCACAGAUUUCACGAGUAUUAUCUUUGACCAAGAGGCAGAGCACCUGAAUGAUUGUAACGCAAGUGAGAGCGUGACCCCUGUAUCUGUGGCGCUGCAGGAGGGGGGGCUGGAGAAUGGCCAUCUUAGCCCCGUGGAGAAGCGGAUUCUCCAAUCCAAUGAGCAGCUGGUGCAGGAGAUGCGAGCCUUCCGCAGGGAGUACACGGAAAGCCGCAGGGAAACUGCCUCCAUCCUGCGCAUCAUCGCCAAGGCCCUCAGCAGUGUGAGCAGCAGCCUCUGUGAGAUCCGCGAUCUCUACCUCCGACAGCAAGUGACCCCCAAGCAGUGAGGGGCCACUAGGCCCAGUCAUCAUGCAGCGGGUAUCGGGGGGGUGGGCAGGACCUCCCACUCCCAGGGAGGGAAGUGCUGAGGGGCUGCAUGGGACAGAAACGUGAACCACCCCUCAGCCAGGGGGAGAGAGAUCUGGGGUUGGGGACAUGGGUUCUCCCACACUUCCCCUCCCACUUUCCCUACUUGAAUAAAACUCUGAACUGGCCAUAUGCUCCCCCGUCA
rnacentral:lncRNA from 1 species